AACGAACGCUGGCGGCAUGCCUAACACAUGCAAGUCGAACGAGACCUUCGGGUCUAGUGGCGCACGGGUGCGUAACGCGUGGGAACCUGCCCUUAGGUUCGGAAUAACUCCCCGAAAGGGGUGCUAAUACCGGAUAAUGUCUUCGGACCAAAGAUUUAUCGCCUUUGGAUGGGCCCGCGUUGGAUUAGCUAGUUGGUAGCGUAAAAGCCUACCAAGGCGACGAUCCAUAGCUGGUCUGAGAGGAUGAUCAGCCACACUGGGGCUGGGACACGGCCCGGACUACUACGGGAGGCAGCAGUGGGGAAUAUUGGACAAUGGGCGAAAGCCUGAUCCAGCUAUGCCGCGUGAGUGAUGAAGGCCUUAGGGUUGUAAAGCUCUUUUACCCGGGAUGAUAAUGACAGUACCGGGAGAAUAAGCUCCGGCUAACUCCGUG
rnacentral:rRNA from 1 species